UACAGAGGUCUCAAGCGUUGCUCGGAAUCACUGGGCGUAAAGCGCACGUAGGCGGAUUGUUAAGUCAGGGGUGAAAUCCUGGAGCUCAACUCCAGAACUGCCUUUGAUACUGGCGAUCUCGAGUCCGGGAGAGGUGAGCGGAACUGCGAGUGUAGAGGUGAAAUUCGUAGAUAUUCGCAAGAACACCAGUGGCGAAGGCGGCUCACUGGCCCGGUACUGACGCUGAGGUGCGAAAGCGUGGGGAGCAAACAGG
rnacentral:rRNA from 1 species